rnacentral:misc_RNA from 1 species
UCCGGCUUGUCACCGGCAGUUUCUCCAAAGUGCCCAGCAUUACCUGAUGGCAACUGGAGACGAGGGUUGCGCUCGUUGCGGGACUUAACCCAACAUCUCACGACACGAGCUGACGACAGCCAUGCAGCACCUGUGCACGCUUCCCUUGCGGGCUCGUUGCCCUUUCAGGCUCCUACUACGUGCAUGUCAAGGCCAGGUAAGGUUCUUCGCGUUGCAUCGAAUUAAGCCACAUACUCCACCGCUUGUGCAGGCCCCCGUCAAUUUCUUUGAGUUUUAAUCUUGCGACCGUACUCCCCAGGCGGCACGUUUAUCGCGUUAGCUUCGCCACAAGAGGGGUCGAUUCCUCUUACAGCAAACGUGCACCGUUUACAGCCAGGACUAC